rnacentral:lncRNA from 1 species
CAGGAAUUGUUCUUUCAGACCAAGGAAAAAUUAUGCAGGGGGAUGUUUGUGGAAAUUAUAAGUUGUCAAGUAGAUUAAGAUAGAGGGUGCAGUCAAGUGCAGUGGAGAUUCAGAGUCAUAUCAGCAAUGUGACGGCAGAAGCAAAAGAAACCCGUUUUCGUCAUACCUGAGAUUGCCUGUACUGUAAUGGAACUCCAGGCAUCUCUCCAGACAAAACUUUGACGCCCACAUCUGCAUCCAUUUCACAAGUCAAACACAAUGAAAUUAUACUCAGAUGGAACUUGGUUAGGCAUUCGCGACACAAUCAGGCAUAGUGCUUGCUGUUCAGUAUUCUUGAUGUCAGCUAGAGCAAAUGGGCAGAGAGUUUCAGAUUUUAGCUAACUAUAAUCAUCAUCAUUAUUCUGUGAGGCUAGCCUAGCUUGAGCUUCAGGUUUUGCAAUGCAGUAGGUAAAGAUAACCAAAAUGAGGGAUCCCAGUUUCCAGAGCAAUUAUUUACUAAACUGACUGUACGACUGAAUGAUUCAGUUUCAGAGGGAUUAUUUUCAGAGCCCCAAGAAAGUAACCACGGCAAGUUCUAGUGUAUCGAACUAAGGAUGAUCUAGUAAUUUACUGUACUAAUGUUAGUCUCUUAGUAUUAUCUGAUCCUUGAUAAAAACAAAAAUUCCUCUUCAAAUACAAGUGCAGAAACCUUACAUCCUUGACUGAAUAAUUUGAAGUCAUCAACUGUAGAAAACAAGAAAAGGUAGUAAUCAGCCUUGGUGAUUGCUGAAGAUCUUUCUCCAUACUUCUAGGUUCUAGCUUUGCUCUACAUAUGGAUGGUUUAGGGAUUCUGAAAAGCAACAGUAACAAAAUGUGGUAAAAACUUACUUGAUCCAGACAACAACCUGAUUCGAAAUAUAACAUCAGGAUUUGCUUUUUCAGACCAAGGACAAACUAACUAUGCAGGGGAAUGUUUGUGCAACUUAUAAGUUGUCAAGAAGAUCAAGGUAGAAAGUGCAGUCAUGUGCACUGCAAAUUCAUCGUUAUAUUGGCAAUGUGACAGCAGAAGCAAAGGAAAACCGUUUUCGUCAUACCUAAGGUUGCCUGCACUGUAAUGAAUGGUCAGCUUCUGAAGAUGAGAUAAUUCAUCCUCCCCUGCCUCUCUGGAUGCAGUAUACAAGUAAGAUAUCAACAACAUAAACUCGACCCGUUGAAAUCCUGUUGAGAAAACUUAUUUAUUUAUCUGACAUUUUUAGGCCGAGUUGCACAAAAAGGAAGAUGUUUCCAGUAGUAAUAAAGUACUGCUUUGUACACCAAACUCCAGAGUCCAACACAUUUUUUUUUCGAAAAGGAGGCCUCGCCCCAGAGUCCAACACAUGGAACAAGCAAGUACAUUCAGAAACAAAGUAGUACAGUGCAGAUAAAAAUAGUGUCUCACUGCAAGUUGGCACAAGCAGAUCAGCUUAAACCUGUUGUAUGCAAACUCUUGUUGUGAGUUGUGACAGCAUAACCAAGCAGCACUACUCUACAGGCUCAUCAAAGUUCCAAACAGCCUAACAACCAGAUUUUAUACCAAACAACAGAUUUCACUGCUAAACUCUUGGAAUAAUACAAAGACAGUAGCAUUAGUCGCAACUCGCAAGUGUUGUAGAUUUGCAAGGUCAGAUAACUAUUGACAAAUCAGACUGAAGAACAACACUGUCAGCUGUCAUGCUGGAUUCAGAUAUAACAGUGAGAGUUGAAGAGAAAGUGAUAAACAAACCAGAUGGCGACGUUAAAACAGAAGGAACCGCCAUUUGCCAUAAAUUCGAGACAAACCUGCAAGCUGAUACCCUUCUGCCCAGGAUGCAAAAAAGAGCAGAGCCACCAGGCAAGAUACUUAUAUCCUUGACAACUUUAUACAUGCUUCAUGGCU